UUGGGCCAGUUUUCAAAAAACACAGAGAUCGGAGGAAACCCCAAAGCCCUGAACUAAAAGGGUUGUACAUCAAAGGGGAAUAAGGGGAUCAGAAGUCUGGAGGAAAGACAUGCUGGGGAGACUCUGCUGUGCCCAUCUCAGAGAAGCUCACAGAUGCCCUGAAGACAGCAACCUCCAUGAAUGAAUUUGAAACGAACCCUGCUCUCAAGCCAGCCCUGGGUUUUCAGUUUCAUUGAGAGAUCUCUGUGUAAGCUGGAUAUAGUGGCAUGUGCUUGCAGUUUUAACACCAGAGCAGCUGAUACAGGAGGCUCUCAAGAGCGAGACCAGCUUGAACUACACGGGGAGAUCGUGUCUCCAAAAACUAAAAAAGGAGAACAAGUGGCAAGCAUCUUCAGGUUAGCCCACCAACGUAUCGUCACACAGCAGUGUGGACCUUGCCAGAUUUAACCUGCAUAGCAGAGGAGGGCUUCAGCUCAUGUGGGGUCAUGUUUCACAGCUUGUUAUGCUUCCAAUACUGAAAUAUUCCCGGCUCAA